AUCUACCGCCAUGCCACCCUGAACAAGCCCAAUCUCAUCUGAUCUCAGAAGCUAAGCAGGGUCGGGCCUGGUUAGUACUUGGAUGGGAGACCACCUAGGAAGACCAGGUGCUGAUA
rnacentral:rRNA from 1 species